rnacentral:rRNA from 1 species
CGGGUGGCAGCAGUUUCGAAUCGUUCACAAUGGGGGCAACCCUGAUGGCGCGACGCCGCGUGCGGGAUGAAGGCCUUCGGGUUGUAAACCGCUUUCAGCAGGGAAGAAGCGAAAGUGACGGUACCUGCAGAAGAAGCACCGGCUAACUAUGUGCCAGCAGCCGCGGUAAUACAUAGGGUGCAAGCGUUGUCCGGAAUUAUUGGGCGUAAAGAGCUCGUAGGUGGUUCGUCACGUCGGAUGUGAAAAUCUGGGGCUCAACCCCAGACCUGCAUUCGAUACGGGCGAGCUAGAGUUUGGUAGGGGAGACUGGAAUUCCUGGUGUAGCGGUGGAAUGCGCAGAUAUCAGGAGGAACACCAAUGGCGAAGGCAGGUCUCUGGGCCAAUACUGACACUGAGGAGCGAAAGCGCGGGGAGCGAACAGGAUUAGAUACCCGAGU